rnacentral:tRNA from 6 species
UCCUCCUUAGCUCAGUCGGUUAGAGCAUCUGACUGUUAAUCAGAGGGUCGCUGGUUCGAGCCCAGCAGGAGGAGCCA